rnacentral:rRNA from 8 species
AGCAUGAAGUCAGACAAGUGA